AGUGAACGCUGGCGGUAGGCCUAACACAUGCAAGUCGAACGGCAGCACAGUACGGGCUUGCUCUUACGGGUGGCGAGUGGCGGACGGGUGAGGAAUACAUCGGAAUCUACUUUUUCGUGGGGGUUAACGUAGGGAAACUUACGCUAAUACCGCAUACGACCUACGGGUGAAAGCAGGGGAUCUUCGGACCUUGCGCGAUUGAAUGCGCCGAUGUCGGAUUAGCUAGUUGGCGGGGUAAAGGCCCACCAAGGCGCCGAUCCGUAGCUGGUCUGAGAGGAUGAUCAGCCGCACUGGAGCGUGAACGCGGUCCAUGGUCCUACGAGAGGCAGCAGUGUGGAAUGUUGGGCAAUAGGCGCAAGCCUGAUCCAGCCAUACCGCGUGGGUGAAGAAGGCCUUCGGUUUGUAAAGCCCGUUUGUUGGGAAAGAAAAGCAGCAGGUUAAUACCCCGCUGUUCUGACGGUACCCAAAGAAUAAGCACCGGCUAACUUCGUG
rnacentral:rRNA from 1 species